rnacentral:rRNA from 1 species
CCUGGCUCAGGAUGAACGCUAGCUACAGGCUUAACACAUGCAAGUCGAGGGGCAGCAUGGUCUUAGCUUGCUAAGGCCGAUGGCGACCGGCGCACGGGUGAGUAACACGUAUCCAACCUGCCGUCUACUCUUGGACAGCCUUCUGAAAGGAAGAUUAAUACAAGAUGGCAUCAUGAGUCCGCAUGUUCACAUGAUUAAAGGUAUUCCGGUAGACGAUGGGGAUGCGUUCCAUUAGAUAGUAGGCGGGGUAACGGCCCACCUAGUCUUCGAUGGAUAGGGGUUCUGAGAGGAAGGUCCCCCACAUUGGAACUGAGACACGGUCCAAACUCCUACGGGAGGCAGCAGUGAGGAAUAUUGGUCAAUGGGCGAGAGCCUGAACCAGCCAAGUAGCGUGAAGGAUGACUGCCCUAUGGGUUGUAAACUUCUUUUAUAAAGGAAUAAAGUCGGGUAUGGAUACCCGUUUGCAUGUACUUUAUGAAUAAGGAUCGGCUAACUCCGUGCCAGCAGCCGCGGUAAUACGGAGGAUCCGAGCGUUAUCCGGAUUUAUUGGGUUUAAAGGGAGCGUAGAUGGAUGUUUAAGUCAGUUGUGAAAGUUUGCGGCUCAACCGUAAAAUUGCAGUUGAUACUGGAUAUCUUGAGUGCAGUUGAGGCAGGCGGAAUUCGUGGUGUAGCGGUGAAAUGCUUAGAUAUCACGAAGAACUCCGAUUGCGAAGGCAGCCUGCUAAGCUGCAACUGACAUUGAGGCUCGAAAGUGUGGGUAUCAAACAGGAUUAGAUACCCUGGUAGUCCACACGGUAAACGAUGAAUACUCGCUGUUUGCGAUAUACUGCAAGCGGCCAAGCGAAAGCGUUAAGUAUUCCACCUGGGGAGUACGCCGGCAACGGUGAAACUCAAAGGAAUUGACGGGGGCCCGCACAAGCGGAGGAACAUGUGGUUUAAUUCGAUGAUACGCGAGGAACCUUACCCGGGCUUAAAUUGCAGAUGAAUUACGGUGAAAGCCGUAAGCCGCAAGGCAUCUGUGAAGGUGCUGCAUGGUUGUCGUCAGCUCGUGCCGUGAGGUGUCGGCUUAAGUGCCGUAACGAGCGCAACCCUUGUUGUCAGUUACUAACAGGUUCCGCUGAGGACCCUGACAAGACUGCCAUCGUAAGAUGUGAGGAAGGUGGGGAUGACGUCAAAUCAGCACGGCCCUUACGUCCGGGGCUACACACGUGUUACAAUGGGGGGUACAGAGGGCCGCUACCACGCGAGUGGAUGCCAAUCCCCAAAACCUCUCUCAGUUCGGACUGGAGUCUGCAACCCGACUCCACGAAGCUGGAUUCGCUAGUAAUCGCGCAUCAGCCACGGCGCGGUGAAUACGUUCCCGGGCCUUGCACACACCGCC